rnacentral:rRNA from 1 species
UACGAAGGGGGCUAGCGUUGCUCGGAAUCACUGGGCGUAAAGCGCACGUAGGCGGAUUGCUAAGUCAGGGGUGAAAUCCUGGAGCUCAACUCCAGAACUGCCCUUGAUACAGGCGGUCUCGAGUCCGGGAGAGGUGAGUGGAACUGCGAGUGUAGAGGUGAAAUUCGUAGAUAUUCGCAAGAACACCAGUGGCGAAGGCGGCUCACUGGCCCGGUACUGACGCUGAGGUGCGAAAGCGUGGGGAGCAAACAGG